rfam:Gossypium arboreum cultivar AKA8401 contig_53918_3, whole genome shotgun sequence.
AUUCUGUGAUGAGGGCACUUCCGUAAUAAUUCUUUGUACCUUUCUCAUGUCUCAUGCAAGGAAUCAUCAUUCAUUUGUUUUGGAAAGCAGUGAUCUCGUUCCUCAACUU